rnacentral:rRNA from 1 species
AGUGAACGCUGGCGGUAGGCCUAACACAUGCAAGUCGAACGGCAGCACAGUAAGAGCUUGCUCUUACGGGUGGCGAGUGGCGGACGGGUGAGGAAUACAUCGGAAUCUACUUUUUCGCGGGGGAUAACGUAGGGAAACUUACGCUAAUACCGCAUACGACCUACGGGUGAAAGCAGGGGAUCUUCGGACCUUGCGCGAUUGAAUGAGCCGAUGUCGGAUUAGCUAGUUGGCGGGGUAAAGGCCCACCAAGGCGACGAUCCGUAGCUGGUCUGAGAGGAUGAUCAGCCACACUGGAACUGAGACACGGUCCAGACUCCUACGGGAGGCAGCAGUGGGGAAUAUUGGACAAUGGGCGCAAGCCUGAUCCAGCCAUACCGCGUGGGUGAAGAAGGCCUUCGGGUUGUAAAGCCCUUUUGUUGGGAAAGAAAAGCAGCAGGUUAAUACCCCGCUGUUCUGACGGUACCCAAAGAAUAAGCAUCGGCUAACUUCGUG